rnacentral:sRNA from 1 species
AUAUCUCUCUGUACGGGAAGGAUGAGAAGCUUCGACUAAGGUUCGAUUCGAGCGAAAGCGAGAAAGCGUUGCCGCAGGCAACGACCCGAAGGGCG